UGGAUAACAGAAGUCAUGGUUAUUUUGGU
rnacentral:piRNA from 1 species